UGAUUAUUGAACUGUGUCUUGUGAAGU
rnacentral:piRNA from 1 species